CUGUAAACGGAAAUGAGCCGAAAAAGGCAUUUUAAGGGAUGUGACCUCCCUUGAGACUACGUGCCUGAAAACCGUGCUCCCUUAGAGUGGUGUAGAAAUGCUCAGCGUCCUCCAUUUCUCUCCCUCGCAAAAUGCGGAUGAAAGAAGGAGACAGAACCUCAAUUCUACAUCCUUUUUAAGAGGGAGUUUAGAAGAUACAGGCCUCCCUUUAGCGUAAACGGAGUUCUGUUUCUUAUUUUAUGCGUUAUUUUCUUUUCUUUUACACAUCUGUGAGAAGGAAACGAGAAAGGAGAGAUAUAUUGUCCAAGUGGUUCUUCUUCUUUUUUUUUUUUUCUUUCUGCAAAUUUAUACAUUUCCGGAGUGCAAGCCAACUUAUUUAGGGCGAUAUAAUAGACGCUUUGUUCGUCUCGUCGACCACAAUGUCCUGUCGCGCUGCCAGAACCCCCGGUCGGCAUCUGACGAGCUGUCUUCGGAAGCGAGACCAUGCAAAACUUCGACGGCUUAGGCCGCAGAAUGUCCUCGCUUCUGUUCGUCUUCCCAUCAACUAAAAGUGAAACUGAAGGCAAAGCUCGCAAAGCGCCACUGUCGUCGGCGCCGGUGACGACACCUGUUUUGCUCAUCGUAGUUCUGCGUGUGUGUCUAUAUGCGUGCUUACGAGGUAAUUUUGGCGGCCGUCGGAGAGUGUUUCGUGUAGUGUGGAACCUCACAAGAAAGCUACCUGCCCCACUGCGCAGCACGGCGGUGAUCGGCCACUGCGUAGUCAUCGCUUUGACGUGAUCUGUGUACUACAAUACACUUUCGUGGUUCGCGCGGCCGUGCUCGGGUAUUCCCUCCUGCGCCACGAUAUGACAGCGGCUAGUGAAACCUCACCCACAGUCCUCACAAAAUCGGACCGCGUACGGUGUCGACUGCUUUUGGAAACGGCGCGUUUCGGAUUACCGCUUGCCCAGUUGCCUCAUGUUUGACGCGGCCUUUUCAAGCUGCCGUGACUGUUCCUGUCAUACCAAAGCCAAGGCUCACUGGCCCCUCAUGGUAUUGAAGCUUGCUCACCAAUUACUCAGAGUGGAUGAUACAUUUUCUGGAUUUUGUCAGGUGCCAUCUGUCUUGCCCUAAUCAUGGUAUGAAAGGUCACAGCAAAUUUAAUAACAAGCUGCUCAAGAAUGUGUCCCAGCUAGUGUCGCAACAUACCCCCUGGGUUCAUUCUUAAGACUGGGAAAACAUGGGGAAGGCAGGAAAUGGAAAUUCAAGACGAUGAGCAAACCGAGAACAAGAUGAAAGCAGGAGCCAACGUUUCAACAAGUGGACUUGUCUUCUUCAAGGCGACAUAUGCUUUCCUCGCCACAGUUACAGAUAUUAAGAAUCAAUUUGGUUGAUGCCCAGCCUGAUACUCCGUGAUUAUACUGAUAGAUAUGCAUACAAUUGUUUAUCCUUUUUCUGUGGAUUGCAUUUCACCUACUAACAAUUGAAAGAUAUCAGUCAACGUGAGAUGCAAAUAGUGUUGUACU